rnacentral:tRNA from 2 species
GUCUUAGCUCAAUUGGCAGAGCAGUUGAUUUGUAAUCAUCAGGUUGUUGGUUCGAUUCCGAUAGAC